UAUAUAAGCUAAUCUCCUCCAAGCAGCUAGGGUUGGUUUUUUCGUGCAUUUAUUCAAGCAGUUGGUGAGCAGCACGUUUUUGGAGAGAAAGAACAUCAUAGCUUGGUUUAUAUGUUCUGGCGGCUGGUAUUUCAAACUCCACAAACCAAAGGCAAAACGUGAGCCCUAGACAUGUCGACGCCGAUCCCAAAAUUGGAGGCGGCGGCCAAGGCAUCGCACACGCAGUCAGCGUUGGCUUCCACCAAAGUCUGAAAUCCCGCGCAACAUGACGCACGCGGCGUCGUUUCGGUGCUGCCCAUGGCCAAGAACCCAAUGCAGUCCACCAUGCCGAACACCAGGGGGUAGCAUGCCGCCGCUCACCACCGCCAUAGCCAAAAUCAAAGACAAUGUCGAUAAAUUCUUCAUUUUUUGCUUCUUUCCUUCACUAAUUGAAAAGAGUUGAUAGGUGAUGAUGAGUGUAGUGAAGGAUUUUGUGAGAAGCCCCAAAGAUUUUGAUCGUCAAAAUGUUUGUUUUGAUAUGAUACGAUAUUUCCUAAGAUUUAUACAGUGUUGUUAUGUUGUUUGUUGAGAUAUGUUGGCAGUGAUGAACAUUUGACUCUCUAUAUCUUAAUGAAUUAGGGUUUCUGGAUUUUGAUUA